rnacentral:rRNA from 1 species
AGAGUUUGAUCCUGGCUCAGGACGAACGCUGGCGGCGUGCUUAACACAUGCAAGUCGAACGGAAAGGCCCUUCGGGGUACUCGAGUGGCGAACGGGUGAGUAACACGUGGGUGAUCUGCCCUGCACUUUGGGAUAAGCCUGGGAAACUGGGUCUAAUACCGAAUAUGACCAUGCGCCUCCUGGUGUGUGGUGGAAAGCUUUUGCGGUGUGGGAUGGGCCCGCGGCCUAUCAGCUUGUUGGUGGGGUAAUGGCCUACCAAGGCGACGACGGGUAGCCGGCCUGAGAGGGUGACCGGCCACACUGGGACUGAGAUACGGCCCAGACUCCUACGGGAGGCAGCAGUGGGGAAUAUUGCACAAUGGGCGCAAGCCUGAUGCAGCGACGCCGCGUGAGGGAUGACGGCCUUCGGGUUGUAAACCUCUUUCAGCACAGACGAAGCGCAAGUGACGGUAUGUGCAGAAGAAGGACCGGCCAACUACGUGCCAGCAGCCGCGGUAAUACGUAGGGUCCGAGCGUUGUCCGGAAUUACUGGGCGUAAAGAGCUCGUAGGUGGUUUGUCGCGUUGUUCAUGAAAACUCACAGCUUAACUGUGGGCGUGCGGGCGAUACGGGCAGACUUGAGUACUGCAGGGGAGACUGGAAUUCCUGGUGUAGCGGUGGAAUGCGCAGAUAUCAGGAGGAACACCGGUGGCGAAGGCGGGUCUCUGGGCAGUAACUGACGCUGAGGAGCGAAAGCGUGGGGAGCGAACAGGAUUAGAUACCCUGGUAGUCC